rnacentral:rRNA from 1 species
UACGGAGGGAGCUAGCGUUGUUCGGAUAUACUGGGCGUAAAGCGCACGUAGGCGGCGCAGCAAGUCAGGGGUGAAAUCCCGGAGCUCAACUCCGGAACUGCCUUUGAAACUGCAGUGCUAGAAUUCUGGAGAGGCGAGUGGAAUUCCGAGUGUAGAGGGUGAAAUUCGUAGAUAUUCGGAAAGAACACCAGUGGCGAAGGCGACUCGCUGGACAGACAUUGACGCUGAGGUGCGAAAGCGUGGGAGCAACA